CACAUGGUUCUCAAUAGCUAAUACAACAUUUUCCUUCAUAGACCUCCUCUUAUUACAAAAAAAAGAAAAUUAAGUCUUACCAGUUUUUUUAAAACUGAAAUUUUAUAAAUUACUUUCUAUCACCAAAAUGAAAUGAGUAUACAACGAGAAAAAAAAUCUGAAAAAUUAACAAAUAUAUAGAAAUUAAACAACACACUCUUGAGCAUGCUCUUGUGAAAGGCUGAAAAAGGUAAUACUGUAAAGAUGUCCAUCCUGCUCAAUGCAAUCUACAGAUUUAAUGCAAUGUUUUUCAAAUUUCUCACUGCAUUUUUGAAGAAACAGAAACAGCAAUCCCUCGAGUAUACAGAAUCUCUACAUACAAUGAAGUACCCAAAAAUAUUAAAAACAAAACAAAACAAUGUUGGAGGCAUUACAGUUCCUGAUUUCAAAACACAAAGCUACAGAAUUAAAACAAUUUGGUAUGAGUAUAAAGGUGAAAAAGUAGACUAAUAAAAUAGAAUGCAGCACAUAUAUAAACUCUCACAUAUAUGGUCACAUGAAGAGUCAUUUGCAUACCCACAUUUAUUUUAGCAUUGUUACUAAAAGCCAGUAGGUAAAAGCAAGGCAAAUUUCGGUCACCAAAUCGUUCAGCAGAUAUAAUUUGAAAUACAAAAAUGCCAAAAUAUUACUCAGUUUGAAAAAAAGCAGGAAAUAUUCUAACAACUAUAAAGGUAAAUCCUGAUGACUUUAUGCAAAAUAAAAUGAGCCAGCCACAAACAGAUUUUAUGAGAUAUACAAAGCAGUUAUACUCUUAGAAACAGAAAACAGAAUGGCAUUUGAAAAGUGCCAGGAAAUGGGAAAAAUUGGUAGUUGUUUAAUGUGUAUUGUAAACUUUCUAGAAAUCUUUUAUAAAAUAAUGUAAAUAUACUUAACAUGCCUGAAAUGUACAGUGUUUUUGAGUCAGGGUCUCACUCUGUCACCCAAGCUGGGGUGCAUGGCACAAUUACAGCUCACUGCAGCCUCAAACUUCCAGGUUCAAGUAAUCCUCCCUCCUCAAUCUCCCAAGUAGACAGGACCACUUCACCAUGUCUGGCUACGUUUUAAAAUGCUUUACAGAGAUGAGGUUUCCAUAUGUCUUCCAGGAUGUUCUCAAGCUUUUGGGCUCAGUCUUCCUGCCUUGGCCUCCCAAAAUCCGGGGAUUACAGACGUGAACCACCACGACUGGCCAUGAAAUGUACAUUCAAAUAGAUUUAAGAUGGUAAAUUUUAGGUUAUAUGUUUGUACAAUUGUUUUUUAGAAGAAUAACUGAAGAUCCAGAAUUAUAAACCUUUCCAAAAAUUACCUUCAAGUCACAAAAGUGUUUCCCUCACACAUAGGAAAUAUGUUUAUUAUUAAACACAAGGUGAAAAUAAGACUAUUUCCAUGACUACUCAUUUAGACAAGAUAAAGCCACCAUUAAAAAUCAGCUAAGAAAAAAUAUAUACAAGAUUAGCCAUAACCAAAAUUGGGGUCAUAUUUAUAGAUAAAAACACACACACAUAUAAUCAGAUUGUAAUAGAGAUAAGGCUGAUUUAUCUCUUAAACCCCACACCGACUUACAUGUAAAAACAGAAUUGCAAAUUGUCUAAAAUUGUAAAACCAAAAAACACAAUAAACUUAUGUUAAGAAACCUACACUGAAAAAACGCAUUAAUAUGAAACUAAAAAAUAAUAAUAAAUGUUUACUCAUAAAAUCUGGUAUGUAACUUGAUGUAGCAUUAACAAAGAAUUUGUGUAGAUAACUGGAAUAUUUUACUGUAACUGUGUACUCAUUGAAGGUGGCUAUUUUGAAUCAUUGGCAUGCACUGUAAUGCAGUAAAAGUUUCAGAUAAAAUGCAGUAUAAUCAUAAACAGAAGACUCUAAUGACAAACUGAUAAAUAAGCAUUUUAAUAAAUAAGAUCAUUUCUAAGUUUUAAAUAUAUGCUAUUCUUACACAAAAUAAAACUGCUGUAAUCCAAAUUUAGAAGCAAAAAAUAGCCUUACAUUGCUAAAUAAAGAAAAAAUAUAUCUAUUUUGCAGAAUAUGGUCAGGGCCUCUGAUAUAUAAAACAAAUAUUUGGGAACAAAUUAUGUCAUAUUUUAGGUACUAGCUGACAAAAGUGAGUGAAAAUCCUGUCUUUUUUUGCCUGUCUAUAUUUCCUUUUUGUCUGUCUACUAAUUAUCUAAUUCACCUCAGACAUAACAUGUCAAUUUUAGUAUAUUGUCCUAAAUGUCUAAAUCUAAAACUACUGACAAAAUUGAAAUAGAAAGUAGAAAGUAAAAAUGUACAGGAAGAGUGACAUCACUAAGAUGGAAAAAUAAAUGGUGCCUUAUUUGCUUAUUUUCUGACAGCAAGAAAAUUCAUCAGCCUGAUAAAAAUGCCUUUAUGAGAGAAACAGGAAUCAUGACUCAAACCUGUAAUGAGAAAUGCUUUAGGACAGAACUUCAAGAUCAACCUGGGUCAUGUAGCAAGAACCCAUCUCCAAAACAAGUGCCCUUAAAGAGCUUUGAGAUCUAUGGAGGGAGUUGUGAAACUCUGCUAAUGCCCAAGAUUGAGGAAUAUUCUCUUCAGAAGGCAGGCUUUCAUUCAGGUGGCAAACUACAGGACCCCUGUUCUUGGCUACAGACCAGAAAAUGGCCCACCAAACUUGGUCCCACUGAGAAUUCUGAACUUACCCUGCAAUCAUCCCAAACUCCUCCCAGCCACAGUCUGGGAGAGGUCUUGCCCUUUCAGAGGUCUGGAGAGAGACACCCCUUUAUAGCCACGCAGCAGGCCUGCAGACCUUGGCCAUUACUGUGGUCCCUGAAGCAGUUUCAUGACUCAGUUUUAUCACCCUGAGCCACAGUUCAUGGCAAGUUCUGCCUAUGUAGAAACCCACACAGUGACCUUGGGAAAUCCUCUCUGGUACUCAGUGAAAGCCAAACUCAUCUACAUCCUAAUAUAAAGCCUACCAUAUGCAGACCCAAGUGCAGAAAUCUGCCCUAGCGUCUGCCCUACAGAGCAAAGUCCUGAAGGAUACUCACUCUGUCCAAAAAUAAAAUGGGAAUUACAACUACCUAAGCCCCUUGUAACAAGCCAACUAAAGGUGGACCCUAAUGCAGACCCAGCAGCCUUUGUAAACAAGCUACCUACCCCUCUCCACUACAAACCCAUAGGACAUCCCAUCACCCUGGGGGCUCAACAAAAGAUCUUCACUUUCUGAAACCAAUUUAUAAAAACUUGAAGAGGGCCAGGCGCGGUGGCUCACGCCUGUAAUCCCAGAACUUUGGGAGGCCAAGGCGGGUGGAUCACGAGGUCAGGAGACCGAGACUAUCCUGGCUAACACAGUGAAACCCUGGCUCU
rnacentral:lncRNA from 1 species